UACAGAGGGCGCGAGCGUUAAUCGGAAUUACUGGGCGUAAAGCGCACGUAGGUGGCGACGUAAGUCGGGUGUGAAAGCUCGGAGCUCAACCUGGGAAUUGCAUUGGAGACUGCAUUGCUGGAGGGCGGGAGAGGAGGGCGGAAUUCCCGGUGUAGCGGUGAAAUGCGUAGAUAUCGAGAGGAACACCAGUGGCGAAGGCGGCUCUCUGGUCCAGUACUGACACUGAAGUGCGAAAGCUAGGGGAGCAAACAGG
rnacentral:rRNA from 1 species